rnacentral:lncRNA from 1 species
UGCGGGAGGUGGGGGAGAGGAGCUCGUUUUCACCUAGGGAAGACGAAUGACAGCCAUAGAAGAAGAGGCAUCAUCCUGUCUCUAAAUGGCAGGAGGACUUUGUAUAAGCCUUCCAGACAAUGGAAGCCAUGUGGGCGAAGACUCAGGAGCCGACCUCUGUCAUAGCAGCCUUUCAAACAUGAUGUAGAAGCGAUAUUCAUCUUACUGGGCCCGUAGACAUGAGAAGGAACCACGUACCAUCCAAAGGCCCGGGGAAGAAAUUACAGGGUCUCACUAUGUAGCCCUGUCCAUCCUGGAACUUGCUACAUAAACAUAAAAGACUGGCUUCAAACUCACAGAGAUUCACCUGACUGCCUCCAAACUGCUGGGAUUAGAGGCGUGUCCCCCAACAUGCCUGCUGAUAAAUUCGUCAGAAAGUAUAUCCUAAAGUGAACCAUUCAUCUCACCUGCUAUGCAAGACUUCAACUGCUCAAGUCUGGCCACUGUGAUCCAGAGCCUCCUCAUGGCUGCCUGAGGAAGACAAUCGCCUCCUGUUUGCCUUUGGAACAAGACGUAGAACUUGCAGCUCCUCCAGCACCAUGUCUGACUGCACAGUGCCCUGCUUCCUGCCAUGAUGAUAAUGGACUGAACUUCUGAAACUGUAAGCCAGCACCAAUGAAAUGUUUUUUCUUUAUAAGAAUUGCCUUAGCUGGGCGUGGUAGCACACGCCUUUAAUCCCAGCACUUGGGAGGCAGAGG